rnacentral:rRNA from 1 species
GAGUGAAAUAGAACCUGAAACCGUGUGCUUACAAGUAGUCAGAGCCCGUUAAUGGGUGAUGGCGUGCCUUUUGUAGAAUGAACCGGCGAGUUACGAUUUAAUAUAAGCUUAAGCAGUAAAUGUGGAGCCGUAGCGAAAGCGAGUCUGAAUAGGGCGUUUAGUAUUUGGUCGUAGACCCGAAACCAGGUGAUCUACCCUUGGUCAGGUUGAAGUUCAGGUAACACUGAAUGGAGGACCGAACCGACUUACGUUGAAAAGUGAGCGGAUGAACUGAGGGUAGCGGAGAAAUUCCAAUCGAACCUGGAGAUAGCUGGUUCUCUCCGAAAUAGCUUUAGGGCUAGCCUCAAGUGAUGAUUAUUGGAGGUAGAGCACUGUUUGGACGAGGGGCCCCUCUCGGGUUACCGAAUUCAGACAAACUCCGAAUGCCAAUUAAUUUAACUUGGGAGUCAGAACAUGGGUGAUAAGGUCCGUGUUCGAAAGGGAAACAGCCCAGACCACCAGCUAAGGUCCCAAAAUAUAUGUUAAGUGGAAAAGGAUGUGGCGUUGCCCAGACAACUAGGAUGUUGGCUUAGAAGCAGCCAUCAUUUAAAGAGUGCGUAAUAGCUCACUAGUCGAGUGACACUGCGCCGAAAAUGUACCGGGGCUAAACAUAUUACCGAAGCUGUGGAUUGUCCUUUGGACAAUGGUAGGAGAGCGUUCUAAGGGCGUUGAAGCAUGAUCGUAAGGACAUGUGGAGCGCUUAGAAGUGAGAAUGCCGGUGUGAGUAGCGAAAGACGGGUGAGAAUCCCGUCCACCGAUUGACUAAGGUUUCCAGAGGAAGGCUCGUCCGCUCUGGGUUAGUCGGGUCCUAAGCUGAGGCCGACAGGCGUAGGCGAUGGAUAACAGGUUGAUAUUCCUGUACCACCUAUAAUCGUUUUAAUCGAUGGGGGGACGCAGUAGGAUAGGCGAAGCGUGCGAUUGGAUUGCACGUCUAAGCAGUAAGGCUGAGUAUUAGGCAAAUCCGGUACUCGUUAAGGCUGAGCUGUGAUGGGGAGAAGACAUUGAGUCUUCGAGUCGUUGAUUUCACACUGCCGAGAAAAGCCUCUAGAUAGAAAAUAGGUGCCCGUACCGCAAACCGACACAGGUAGUCAAGAUGAGAAUUCUAAGGUGAGCGAGCGAACUCUCGUUAAGGAACUCGGCAAAAUGACCCCGUAACUUCGGGAGAAGGGGUGCUCUUUAGGGUUAACGCCCAGAAGAGCCGCAGUGAAUAGGCCCAAGCGACUGUUUAUCAAAAACACAGGUCUCUGCUAAACCGUAAGGUGAUGUAUAGGGGCUGACGCCUGCCCGGUGCUGGAAGGUUAAGAGGAGUGGUUAGCUUCUGCGAAGCUACGAAUCGAAGCCCCAGUAAACGGCGGCCGUAACUAUAACGGUCCUAAGGUAGCGAAAUUCCUUGUCGGGUAAGUUCCGACCCGCACGAAAGGCGUAACGAUUUGGGCACUGUCUCAACGAGAGACUCGGUGAAAUCAUAGUACCUGUGAAGAUGCAGGUUACCCGCGACAGGACGGAAAGACCCCGUGGAGCUUUACUGUAGCCUGAUAUUGAAAUUCGGCACAGCUUGUACAGGAUAGGUAGGAGCCUUUGAAACGUGAGCGCUAGCUUACGUGGAGGCGCUGGUGGGAUACUACCCUAGCUGUGUUGGCUUUCUAACCCGCACCACUUAUCGUGGUGGGAGACAGUGUCA